rnacentral:lncRNA from 1 species
UUUUAUUCCUUAGACCUAAUUAAUAUUUAUUAUUUUUAUUAAUAAUUUAUUUUAUAAUUACUAUCUUUUUUCUUUUAGGAUUACUACUAAGUAAUUGUUAAAUUUUCUAAAUUUUUAUUUUCUUCUUUUUAUUUUGCAUUUUUUCUUGAAAAUUAAUUUAUAUAAUUUCUUACCACUAAUUAUCUGACACAUAUCAACCUCUUAUCAAUUCAAUUAACACAUGUCAUAAUCUUGUUAAUGACUAACUUUGAAAACCUAACUUUAUAUAAUAAGAUAAAAGUUGAG